AUCAUCUCAUAUUCACAGUUAAGAUUCAAUUUUCUCUCUUCUGCGUUCUACUUCUAAUGGUACUUAUUCUUUGUUUUCCAAACCCCAUUAAAUCCCUAAAAUGAUGCCAUACACUUACACCACUAGAUGGGCAAAGCAGGAUUACAAUGACCAACACAUGAAGGUUCUUGGAAUUUUAAGAAAUGACAACAAGCAAGCACAAUGCAAAAAAAAAAAGGAACAACCAACAACUGUG
rnacentral:lncRNA from 1 species